GUUUUAUGAUGAGCGUAGACAAAGAUAGUCACAGCCUUGGCUUGUUCAAUUAUCUUAGAAAAAUAUUGAAGCUUGGAAAUUCCCUCAAGCAUCAAAUCCAAUGUGUGAGCAGCACAUCCUGUCCAAAAUAUCCUUGGUCUCUUCUCUUUUAGCAUCUUCGCAGCAGCCACAUUGUUGGUAGCAUUGUUUGUGACCACUUGCACUAUCUUUUCAGAUCCUAUAUCUUCACUCCACUGGUCAAUGUAUUGGAAGAUGUAGUCACCAGUGUGAGAAUCCUUAGAUGUGUCUUUUGAUGAAGAAAACAUGUACCUCCUCUUGAGUUCACACACAAAUUCAUUAUACUUUUUCUUUUCAUAUCAGACCAAGCAUCUAUCAUCAC
rnacentral:lncRNA from 1 species